CGUAAUUAGUCAUCACUUCUUGCAAAUGGCAGAUCGGAUGAGACGACUGAUGACGGAUAAGCGCGGCUUAACCGAAUUCCAUCCUGCACUUGACCUUUAUCCCGCCCCGUUUUCCUAUGGCCAUCAAAGGCGGCUUAAAAGACUGAUAGGGAUCGUUGCGACGCUCUUCAGUAUUCACUUUGUAUGCACUAAUCAAAACGUACUACUCGUACGCGUAGUGCAUUAAUUUUCUUUGCUCCAGCGUUUUUAUAUAACGGCCAUUCUUUCGGUACGACUUACGAGUAGCUGCCACGUCCAAAAGUCAAAAUCACGCGCCAAGUUUAAUCUCCUUUAAUUUCCUCAUUCUAUUUUUCUCGUUGGAAUCUUCCAUCCGGAACGCUAUUAUGGAGAAGCUGAUUUUCUGGUUCUUGUGGGUGGGAUGGUGUUGUUAGGCAGCUGGACCGCGGACGCUUGGGGCAACAAGCACUGCACAUGGCACGGAACGGCCCCUUGUAAGUGCAUCCCGCGCACGCGUAGACAAAUGCUUAAUUUAAAAGGUCACUGAUUGUGUGUGUCUGUGUGUAGCUGCAUGGCGUCGUGUCCGAGCGGGAAGAAGAAGGUGCCCGGCACGGAGUCCAAGUGCGGCCCCAACAGCAUCGCCUGCUGCGUCACCGGCCAGAAGCUGGUCUGCUGCCCCAAGGCCUGGGAGGGCAACGCCGCCAACGCCAUCGCCAUCGCCAAGACGUAAUUACGCCCUUUUAACAACCUGCUGUGGAAACGCAAAUCUCCGAAAAUUACUAUACAUACUCUAGUUUGCUGCGAAAUAGACGGCUUUUUUUGCCAAUACUGCUGUGUUUUGAUUACUCGCUUCGUGAUCGAUCAUGACCUUUUAACUUGCACAGAGUAGUUGAUGCUUGGAUAAUCAGCAUUAUUGUUGUUUAUAUUACCAGUGUGAGAUUCAAUUAAAAAUGACCUCGCCGA